rnacentral:rRNA from 1 species
GACGAACGCUGGCGGCGUGCUUAACACAUGCAAGUCGAGCGGUAAGGCCCUUCGGGUACGACGAGCGGCGAACGGGUGAGUAACACGUGGGUGACCUGCCCUCAGCUCUGGGAUAAGCCUGGGAAACCGGGUCUAAUACCGGAUAUGACUCCAUGACGCAUGUUGUGGGGUGGAAAGCCUUGUGCGGCUGAGGAUGGGCCCGCGGCCUAUCAGCUUGUUGGUGGGGUGAUGG